rnacentral:rRNA from 1 species
GGCUCAGAACGAACGCUGGCGGCAUGCCUAACACAUGCAAGUCGAACGAAGCCUUCGGGCUUAGUGGCGCACGGGUGCGUAACACGUGGGAAUCUGCCCUUCGGUUCGGAAUAACAGUUAGAAAUGACUGCUAAUACCGGAUGAUGACGAAAGUCCAAAGAUUUAUCGCCGAAGGAUGAGCCCGCGUAGGAUUAGGUAGUUGGUAGGGUAAUGGCCUACCAAGCCGACGAUCCUUAGCUGGUCUGAGAGGAUGAUCAGCCACACUGGGACUGAGACACGGCCCAGACUCCUACGGGAGGCAGCAGUGGGGAAUAUUGGACAAUGGGCGAAAGCCUGAUCCAGCAAUGCCGCGUGAGUGAUGAAGGCCUUAGGGUUGUAAAGCUCUUUUACCAGGGAUGAUAAUGACAGUACCUGGAGAAUAAGCUCCGGCUAACUCCGUG